ACAGGGAUUGCCCCAGUAACGGCGAGUGAAGCGGCAAAAGCUCAAAUUUGAAAUCCUGCGGGAAUUGUAAUUUGAAGGUUUCGUGGUCUGAGUCGGCCGCGCCCAAGUCCAUUGGAACAUGGCGCCUGGGAGGGUGAGAGCCCCGUAUGGCGCACGCCGACUCUUUGCACCGCGGCUCCGACGAGUCGAGUUGUUUGGGAAUGCAGCUCUAAGUGGGUGGUAAAUUCCAUCUAAAGCUAAAUAUUGGCGAGAGACCGAUAGCGAACAAGUACAGUGAUGGAAAGAUGAAAAGCACUUUGAAAAGAGAGUGAAACAGCACGUGAAAUUGUUGAAAGGGAAGGGCUUGCAAGCAGACACGGUUUUACCGGGCCAGCGUCGAAAAGGGGGGAGGAACAAGAACUCGAGAAUGUGGCGCGCACCUUCGGGCGCGCGUGUUAUAGCUCGUGUUGACGCCUCCAUCCCUUUUCGAGGCCUGCGAUUCUAGGACGCUGGCGUAAUGGUUGCAAGCCGCCCGUCUUGAAACACGGACCUCCUGUGUGA
rnacentral:rRNA from 1 species